rnacentral:tRNA from 1 species
GGGCUGUUAGUAUAGUGGCUAUUACAUCUGGUUUGCAACCAGAAAACAGGGUUUCGAUUACCCUACGGUCCA